AUUGAACGCUGGCGGCAGGCCUAACACAUGCAAGUCGAACGGCAACACGAAGAGGCUUUGUUCUUUGCUGUCGCGUGGGGCGGGGGGGUGAAAUGUCCAGCAAACUCUCCGAUGGCGGGGGGUAACUCGUGGAAACGGUAGCUAUUACAGCGUAUACUCCCAACGGCAGAGAGCAGGAGCUUUGCGCACCUUGCCCGCGGUUGUGAGCCGAUGGCGGAUUAGCUAGUAGGUGGGGUAAAGGCCCACCAAGGCGACGAUCCGUAGCUGGUCUGAGAGGAUGAUCAGCCACACUGGAACUGAGACACGGUCCAGACUCCUACGGGAGGCAGCAGUGGGGAAUAUUGGACAAUGGGCGCAAGCCUGAUGCAGCCAUGCCGCGUGUGUGAAGAAGGCCUUCGGGUUGUAAAGCCCUUUUGUUGGGGAGGAAGAGAGGAAAGUUAAUACCUUGCCGUAUUGACGUUACCCAAAGAAGAAGCACCGGCUAACUCCGUG
rnacentral:rRNA from 1 species